rnacentral:rRNA from 1 species
AAUUUCCUACGGGAGGCAGCAGUAGGGAAUUUUCGUCAAUGGGCGCAAGCCUGCACGCGCAAUGCCGCGUGAACGAGGAAGGUCUUCGGAUCGUAAAGUUCUGUUGAAGGGGAAAAAGAGCGGAGAGAGGAAAUGGUCUCCGAUUGAUAUUACCCUUCGAGGAAGUCACGGCUAACUACGUGCCAGCAGCCGCGGUAAUACGUAGGGGGCGAGCGGUAUCCGGAAUGAUUGGGCGUAAAGGGGGCGUAGGCGGCCUGCUAAGUCUGGAGUGAAAGGUACCG